rnacentral:rRNA from 1 species
GAGCGGUAACAGGCGUAGCAAUACGUGCUGACGAGCGGCGAACGGGUGAGUAACGCUUCGGAAUCUGCCCAAUGGUGGGGAAUAACCAGCCGAAAGGUUGGCUAAUACCGCAUGAGCCCUACGGGGGAAAGCGGGGGAUCGCAAGACCUCGCGCCGAUGGAUGAGCCGAAGCCGGAUUAGCUAGUUGGUAGGGUAACGGCCUACCAAGGCGACGAUCCGUAGCUGGUCUGAGAGGAUGAUCAGCCACACUGGGACUGAGACACGGCCCAGACUCCUACGGGAGGCAGCAGUGGGGAAUAUUGGACAAUGGGGGCAACCCUGAUCCAGCAAUGCCGCGUGUGUGAAGAAGGCCUUCGGGUUGUAAAGCACUUUUA